UUUUUUUGUUUUUUGUUUGUUUGUUUUUUGCUUUUUAGGGCUGUACCUAUAGCAUAUGGAAGUUCCCAGGCAAGGGGUCAAAUUAGAGCUGCAGUUGCUAGCCUGCGCCACAGCCACAGCAACGUGGGAUCUGAGCCACAUCUAUGACCUACUCCACAGCUCACAACAACACCAGAUCUGUAACUCACUGAGCAAGACCAGGGAUCGAACCUGCAUCCUCAUGGAUACUAGUCGGGCUUAUAACCUACUGAGCCACAACAGGAACUCCCUUUCUGUGGAUUUCAACAUGAGAGAUACAUCCAAGAGAUGGGGAAAUACCUUCUGAUUCAAGCCAUAUAUUUGAAAAACAAAUGGAAGAUACCCUGGUGGACGUCUUUUAGGAAUUUGAGAACUGAGAUAUAGGGCAAGCAUGUGUAAUUCGUCAAUUCCCCAAGCUCAGGAACAAAAAGCUUCAAGGCAAAUAAAUUUAGUUAUUUCCGCAAAGGAGUUAUGUUCACUCUCUGUGUUCAUGCACUGAACACUUGCUUCUUUAAACUGUCAACCCUUUAUUUUCAGAGUCCUACAGAUCCCAUUAGCCAACCUAAAAAAAAAAAAAUACCCACUGCUUAAUUUCCCUAUUACAGCUAUGAUACCUAAUCUUAACACUUGUACUAUUUCUAAAUAAUUGGAAGCCCAUAAUCAAGAUGUCCUAUUCUCUAUAAGAUCUACAUUCCAAAGGACUUGAAAGGGGAAAGCAGAAAAGAAAAUUGAAAUGUGAAAUGUAUGCUAAUUUUCUACACUCAGAAACAUUGAUUUAUUCUUCCCCUACCCAGUGGUUAUUUUUGCAUCUGAAGAAGAAAUAAACAGGGAAAAGGUAUUCUGGUGGAAGAAAGGAUUUUUAAAAGGAGAGAGUAGAAGAGAUGUCACAAGAGGUACACUGGCAUAGUGUGUAGCCACUCUGCCUUUGAGAAAUAGAAAGUUAAAUUUUAUUCCUCUACUACUCUCAGAACUCCACACUCUCUACUGCAUAAUGGCCACAAAGGACAAAAUGUCAUGCUGAAAAAUACAGACAUUAAACAGAUAAGUUAAUAAGUAAAAAUGAUAAUUAUCAAUUAUGAUAAGAUAUAAAAUCAAUAAGCAGGAUAAUACCAUAAAGCAUGAUAAGAGUGGGCUAAUUUGUAUAGAGUGUUUAGAGAAAUAUUUCCUGGGGAAAUGACACGAAGGAAGACAUGAAGAUGGUAGGGGUAAUGUUGGAGUAGAUGUGUGGUAUGGAUAAAAUUAAGAGUACACUAAGGUCAUCUUUCCUUGCAAUAUAAUAUUACCUGCCACAAACUUAUUGCCUGGCUAACUACAAUCCUACUAGUAGUAAGGGAUGGUCUAAUAUAAUUUUAUCAAUGAGGUGACUGAGAUUCAGAGAGUUUGCUUACUCAUAGUGACUUAGCUAGUAAGAGAUGGAGUUAGAUCCUUAGUCUAGUGUCAUUCUUAUGGAUUAUUCUAUCUCAAUAAAAAUAUAUGGGGGAAUGUAUAUAAGGGGAAGAGGUGUCAUUUCUUUUGGGUCCAACCAUUCCGUAUCACUCAUCAGGCUUGUCAGCAGCUUUGUAUUUUCAGUAUGAAUUGUUAAGUAAUAUAGCUAGAAACAGAAUGUGUUUACACACAUUGACCCAUAGAAGAGACCUUUAAAUCAGAAAUCCAAAGGAGGGAGUUUUCUUGUGGUGCAGUAGGUUAAGGAUCAGGGGUUGUCACUGCAGCAGCUUGGGUCACUGCUGUGGUGUGGGUUUGAUCCUUGGUCCAGGAACUUCCCAAUGCCGUGGGCAUGCCCCCAAAGAAAAAGAAUACUAAAGGAAAAAUAGCAAGGUAUUAUGUAAUGCCAAUAUCCCAGGGACCUCAGGAUUGACGUAUGUAAGCACCUUUCCUUUGAAAAAUACCACUAUUAAUAAUAGCAAAUGCAUACCUACUAUCUGCCAAAUCUUUCACAUGUAUUGACUCAUUUAAUCCUUACAACCCCCAUGUUAGGUAGGUAUUAUUAUUAACCCUGUUUUACAAAUGACACAAAAAUGUACAUGACUUGCCUAAAGUCAAAAUAGCCAGUAUAUAGAAAAGUACAGAUGUAAACCCAGACAUAUUGGCUUUUGUAUGUCUAUCCUUAAAUAGGAUGCUCUUCUUAUUACUAAAUUGGAGACUACCUCAAAUACCCACUUCAUGUAUGAAGGUAGAAAUACAUUUAGUGUUGUUACUUGGGAAAGUUCCAUUGUGUAAUACAAAAGUAACCUUUCCAUUAGCAAAGCCACAAGUUGCCAAGAACAGCUCUUUAUCCUGUUGCCCCUGAGGAAAAAUUACAAGGGUUCCCAUGUAAUGAUGGGCCAAUAUCCAUGUUCUCUAGAGAAGUUCUAGCAGGGAUUGGCUUGGUGUCUAAUUGGGGCCAAGAUUCAGAGAGUGGAAUCAAAUCAUGGGGGAAAUGGGCUACAGAAAUUCCUUUUAUUUAUUAAUAGCUGGCUCUCAUGAGUGAAAAAUGCUUCUUCAGAGAUUAUAUCGAGGAACAGAGUGAAGACACAAUCUGACAUCUUUUUCUUCAGUGCCAAACCCCUCUAUUCACACUUAAGAAUACCUAUGGAAUGAAAUAAUACUCUGGCACAAUGUUAGAGGGUUAAUUAUGAUUAGGCCAAAUGUGUUACCUCACCUCUACUUCCAGAUCUCACAGUUAGCAUGUAACAAAUUUACCUUCUCUGUCCCUGUUUUAGUCUAGGGCUGGUUUAAGUCGUAAGUUUAUAAUCACUUUAUGAAUACAAGUAACAUUAAUGGUAUUCAGAAUACUUAAGAGUAGUCAAGCAGACAGAUGUCAGCAAGGUGGGAGAAUAAGAAGCUAGAGAUGCUUCCACCUGCAGAGAUACCAAGUUAACAAUAACAUACAGACCAGAUUAACUCUGUAAGAACUCUAGAGACUAGUUGAUAAAGAUACAGCACCCAGAAUACCAUAAAACAAAGAAGGAAUUCUAGUAAAAGGAGCAGGCAAAUUCAUGGUGUUUGACACAACCAUUUGUGUCUUCCUACAUGGCCUAGUACAAAACAACUAGGAGGAAAGCCCCCAUACUGAUUGGAGCUCCCGCCUCAGGAUGGACACAAAAGAGUAGACCACAUGACCAAUAUUCUGGCUUGUCUAAGGACUGCUGGAAUGAAUGAUUUCUGUCUCACCUAACCCAGAGUACUGAUGGGACUGGAGUCAGACUAUAGAAAUGGCUAAAAGCAGAGGUGAAUAACACAUUAGAGCUGAAGUUAUGCAGGUAGAUGCCAGGUGGAGUAAGAGAUCAGAAAAGGUUUGAGAGGUCUUAGAACUUCCAGCCCAGCUGAUCUGUGAAGAUCUUCUCCUGAAAAGCCAGUACACAAAGAAUGGGAGAAGUAGUUGCUUUUUAAAUGUCCAAAUCCUAUAAAAAUGUAAAUGGCAUACAAAGAAACAGGGAAACAGGGUACAAUCAAAGGAACAAACUAAGUACCAGAAAACAACACUGUAUUUCUUUAAUAUGCAUCUAUGAGCCAGCUAACAUAGAGUUUGAAAUAACUAUCAUAACAAUGCUCAACAAGCUAAAAGAGCAGAAAACUAAAUGAAAUCAAGAAAAUUAUACAUGAGCAAAUAGGUAUAUCAACAAAGAGAUACACACUAUAAAAAGAGAAUCAAACAGAAAUUCUGGAGUUGAAACAUACAGUAAAUGAACUGUAUCAUUAGAAGGGAUUCAACAACAAAACUGACUAGGCAGUAAAAAAUAAUCAUUGAACUUGAAGACAGAUAACUCAAAAUAAAAAAAGAAUGACAAAAAAUCAAGAGAUCAGAAAGGACUUAUGAAAUAAUAUCAAACUGACCAAUCUAUGAACUAUGAGAAUCCCAGAAGGAAAAGAGAGAAAGGAGCAGAGAGCUUAUUUGAUGAAAUAAUGACCAAAACCUCCCAAAUCUGAGGAAAUAAAUGAAUAUACACAGAUCCAAGAAGCUCAGGUGUCCAACAAGAUAAACCCAAAAGGAACCACAAUGGGAUACAUUGUAAUAAAACUGACAAAGAAUCUUGAAAGAAUCAAAAGAAAAGUAAUUUGUCACAUAAAAGGAAGCUUCCAUAAAAAUAUCAGCAGGUUCCUCAGUAGAAAUAUUACAGGCCAGAAGGGAGUGGAACAAUAUAUUCAAAGCUCUGAAAGAAACAAAUGUCAACCAAAAAUACUCUAUCUGGCAAAGUUCUUUCAAAAUAAAGGAGAAAUUAAGACUUUUUGAGUUAAACAAUAGCUGAGGAAGUUGAUUACUACUAGACCUGCUCUACAAGCAAUGCUUCAUAGAUUCCUUCAAGUUGAAACAAAAGGAUUGUAGAUAGAAAUAUCAAGCUAUGCAAAAAUAAAUGGUUAUCUAGUAAAGUCAAAUACAUAGACAAAUAAAGCAACCUGUGCUAUAGCAAUUUUGGUUCAUAGAUUUAAAUGACAAAAGCAUAAAAAGAGACAUACAAAUCUAUGUCAAUUAGUAUAUGAUACAUAAAGUGGAAUUUGUGAAACUAAUAACAAAAUGGAAGAAGUUCAGUUGUAAAGGAUUAGAGUUUUUUAUAAGAUAGAGGUUAAGUUGAUAUCAAUUUACAAUAGAAUGUUACAAUUUUAAGAUGUCUUAUGUAAUUGCAAUGGGAGACACAAAUUAUCUAUAGAAUAUACAUAAAAGAAGAAUAGAAGUGAAUCAUAGCAUACUACAGCAAAAAAAAAAUCAAUGAACACAAAGAAAGAGACAGGACAAAAAAGUUACAAGACAUACAGAAAACAAUUAACAAAAUGGCAAAAUAAGUCCUUACCCAUCGGUAAUUAUUUCAAAUGUGAAUGGAUUAAAUUCCCCAAAAGUCACACAUACAAUAAGAAGAGAAAGAGAAUACCAUAGCAACUCUAUAUACAACUGCAUUAAUGAGCCAUCAACACUACACAUUGGUGCUACUUGUGCUUCCUUAACCACUAGGACAUGGAAAUGCUCAGGUUAGGACUUCAAUAUUUAAUUAGAUAAUCUCGAUCAGUCCUGGCCUAUUAUGGAGCACAACCUGGUAAGAUAACAAUCAGAUGCAUUACAAAUUUUGUCAUUUUAGAAAUCUGAGUAGUGUUCUUGGGCUGUUUGAAUCCCCAAAAAGAACGUCGCC
rnacentral:lncRNA from 1 species